UACGUAGGGUGCAAGCGUUAAUCGGAAUUACUGGGCGUAAAGCGUGCGCAGGCGGUUAUGUAAGACAGAUGUGAAAUGCCCGGGCUUAACCUGGGAACUGCAUUUGUGACUGCAUGGCUAGAGUUUGGCAGAGGGGGGGGUAGAAUUCCACGUGUAGCAGUGAAAUGCGUAGAUAUGUGGAGGAACACCGAUGGCGAAGGCAGCCCCCUGGGUCAAGACUGACGCUCAUGCGACGAAAGCGUGGGGAGCAAAC
rnacentral:rRNA from 1 species